UAGAGGAUGUCUAACUUUUUUUUUUCUUUUGUACCAAAUUACUUUGACGGAAUGGUGCAAAGGAAAGACGAGUGGAUGAUUUGGUACAAGUUAUAGAAAAGGUAAAGGUAACUCCAACAUGCAGUACUGCUUUGGUGACCAGAAGACCAUACGUCAGAACUCC